GGAUGUCCCUAAAUCUGCCCACAGAGAGAUCAAGAUACAUGUUUUCAGUUUUGAGGAUGACCUUAGAAACCUAUUUGGGGCUUAUUUUGUUUACUCAAACAUAACUAUAGAUCCGUCUCAGCCAACAGAUGUCCAGAACAUGAACUUGAUGAUCAUUGGCUCAACCAAUGGAGCUGAGAGUUUCAACUAAUUUCCAUUUUUAUGACAUAGCAUGACUUUUGUUUCUUUGUUCUCUCAGAAUCACCUUCAAUCCCCCCUGGAAAGACCCUAACUGAUCGUUUCUAACAGGGUUAGAUCGUGUGAGCUGAAUGGAGACUUGUUUAUGACUGCCUUAUCCACAUAUGCACCUGACAUGCUUUCUCUCAGCAGAGCAACAAAUUGGAUUUUUCAAGAGCAGGAAACAGACCCCAGUCAUUGGUAAAAUCCUUUCUUACAUCAGUAUUGAUAUGGGUUGCCAAGAGGUCUCUGUAUUAUUUGCGCUUCUCCUUUCUUCGCUGCAGUUGUUUCAACAUAUUGUAUUUUAUUGCUCUGGAUUAGAUGCCUAUUUUGGGAACCUCUGAGAGACCCUGAAGACUGAGGGAUUUUUCCACAGUGGCACUCCUCCCAACGAGCACUUCUUGCCUCUUCUGAGAACCAUCCUUGACCAGCUUUUCUCUGAAAUUGGCUGAACUUAACCUGAUCCUCUUCUGCUGAAACCCUAUAAAGAAUUCCAUCAUCUUUCCUUUGAGACUUUCUUCAUGCCCAGCAUCUUUGAAAUUUGCUUAUGUUAAUGGUAUUCUGGUUACUUUUCUUCCACAAAACAUACUGUGUGUGUGCAUACUGGUAUAUGUAUAUGCAUGUGCCUAUAAUAAAAUAGUUUGUCACAAUGCUUUAAAGUGAA